GAUGAAGAACGUAGCGAAAUGCGAUAAGUAAUGUGAAUUGCAGAAUUCCGUGAAUCAUCGAAUUUUUGAACGCAUAUUGCGCCCUCUGGUAUUCUGGCGGGCAUGCCUGUUCGAGCGUCAUUACAACCCUCAGGCCCCCGGGCCUGGCGUUGGGGAUCGGCGGAAGCCCCCUGCGGGCACAACGCCGUCCCCCAAAUACAGUGGCGGUCCCGCCGCAGCUUCCAUUGCGUAGUAGCUAACACCUCGCAACUGGAGAGCGGCGCGGCCACGCCGUAAAACACCCAACUUCUGAAUGUUGACCUCGAAUCAGGUAGGAAUACCCGCUGAACUUAAGCAUAUCAAUAAGCGGAGGA
rnacentral:misc_RNA from 1 species